CUGGUCUCAUCUCUGCCUUCCCAUUUGACCUGAACUCCAUUUUUAAUGUAUUUAGUUUCUACAGUAUGUGUGUGUGUUUUUAAAUUCAAACAAGUAAGAAUGGAAGAAGUUCUCUGAGCAUCCAAACGACAGUCUGGUGAGAAAUUCAACUUCAGUUUUUGCUUAGUCUGCCUUCUGGCCCACUUGUCCCAAUACAAGUAACCCAGGAAAUGUGAUGCUGGAUCAUGGCACUGAACCUACUUGCUGUUUACUCUGAUACAUCAUGCUGGUGGCCAUAAAGCCUUCUGUGGGGAGCAAGCAAUAUCUCGUCAUCCAGCAGGUGAGCUAAUGAAGAAGCCUCGGCUGUUACAGCUGAGCCCCCGAUGUCUGAGCAAACCCAAGUAAGCACAACGAUAGCAUCAUUCAAAAAACAAAAACAG
rnacentral:lncRNA from 1 species